AGUGAAAUGCGUAGAUAUCAGGAGGAACAUCAGUGGCGAAGGCGACUUCCUGGCCUAAAACUGACGCUGAGGUGCGAAAGCGUGGGUAGCGAACGGGAUUAGAUACCCCGGUAGUCCACGCCGUAAACGAUGUCAACUAGCUGUUGGCCUUAUUAAAAAGGUUAGUAGCGUAGCUAACGCGCUAAGUUGACCGCCUGGGGAGUACGGUCGCAAGAUUAAAACUCAAAGGAAUUGACCGGGGGCCCGCACAAGCGGUGGAGCAUGUGGUUUAAUUCGAUGCAACGCGAAGAACCUUACCAUCCCUUGACAUCCUGCGAACUUUCUAGAGAUAGAUUGGUGCCUUCGGGAACGCAGUGACAGGUGCUGCAUGGCUGUCGUCAGCUCGUGUCGUGAGAUGUUGGGUUAAGUCCCGCAACGAGCGCAACCCUUAUCUUUAGUUGCUACCAUUUAGUUGAGAACUCUAAAGAGACUGCCGGUGAUAAACCGGAGGAAGGCGGGGACGACGUCAAGUCAUCAUGGCCCUUAUGGGAUGGGCUACACACGUGCUACAAUGGGGGGUACAAAGAGCAGCUAGCUGGCGACAGUGCGCGAAUCUCAUAAAACCUCUCGUAGUCCGGAUCGGAGUCUGCAACUCGACUCCGUGAAGUCGGAAUCGCUAGUAAUCGUGAAUCAGAAUGUCACGGUGAAUACGUUCCCGGGCCUUGUACACACCGCCCGUCACGCCAUGGGAGUGGGUUGCAAAAGAAGUGGGUAGUCUAACCUUCGGGAGGGCGCUCACCACUUUGUGAUUCAUGACUGGGGUGAAGUCGACACAAGGUAGCC
rnacentral:rRNA from 1 species